UACGUAGGGGGCUAGCGUUGUCCGGAUUUAUUGGGCGUAAAGAGCGUGUAGGCGGCCAGGUAGGUCUGGUGUGAAAACUCGAGGCUUAACCUCGAGAUGUCAUCGGAAACCAUCUGGCUAGAGUCCGGAAGAGGAAAGUGGAAUUCCUGGUGUAGCGGUGAGAUGCGCAGAUAUCAGGAAGAACACCAAUGGCGAAAGCAGCUUUCUGGGACGGUACUGACGCUGAGACGCGAAAGCGUGGGGAGCGAACAGG
rnacentral:rRNA from 1 species